UGUCUUAAAUCUUAGAUUUGAAAGAACAGUAUAGAGCAUGACAUCCUUCCUAUGAGUAGAAUUGUACAAAGGAACAGAAAUAUGUCUGUAUGAAUUAUCAUACAGAACAAGGCCUUGGGAAUCACUUAGAGUUCCUGAUAUCAAUGCAGACCAACAAUUAAACCCUAGGUCCUCAGUAGCUUCUGGACAGUUAUAAUCAGGACAAUAACACCAAUGGAGAGGGUAAUGCUGCAGGUGAGGUGUAAAUAGAUGGGAGAGACAGCGUGUGAUGAGAGACAUAAAUGGAGAAGACAGAAAAACUGGAAGAAAACUGAAGAAGAGACAGGAAGAGGUUCAUGAACAGACAGCUUUCCUGAAACAAGCCUUUGUUCUCUUAUGGACAUACAGCAACCACGAUAAAGGCUUCAUUCUUGGUGGAAGGAGGCUCAGCUCUGAGAAAGCACGAUUCUGAAAUUACAGGCAUACUUUGGAAAGGUUACUGUGUAUUUUUCUUUCAUGGUCACAUCCCUCUUGCAGAUUUUAGUGGGAGCAGUCAUCUGACAACAAAUUUUUACCAUACUUGAAGUGCCACUCUGAAAGUAAUUCCAGAAGGAAAAGGGUACGGAACAGGUGUGUGCAACUCAGCUGAGGAUAGAUUACUGCAGACUUUGACUUAUCUUGGACUGCCUUCCAGUAACUACCCUGUUGAAACAAAUCCCAUCCAUUUAUUC